AAAGAAUCUCUGUGUUGCUUUCCUAGCAUGCAGCCUUCACAUACUACUGAAAUUUGCUCCAAAUGAGGCAUCAUUGUAAGUGGAAAGCAUCUGUUAUUGGUCAUUUGAACCCUCACAAUCAGAUUUCUCAGUGACUGAUCAUCAUAAACAUUCACCAUAUUCUCUCCAAACACAAGAUAGUACCCAUGCUCCAUCAUUUGCCCAACACUAAGCAGAUUUUCUUCAAGACCAGCUUCAGAAUAUCCCAGGCACCCUUUGAGGUCUCCUCGUUCACAAUUCUGGGG